rnacentral:rRNA from 1 species
UACGGAGGGUGCAAGCGUUGUCCGGAUUUAUUGGGUUUAAAGGGUGCGUAGGCGGCCCGUUAAGUCAGCGGUGAAAUCCCAGGGCUCAACCCUGGAACUGCCGUUGAUACUGGCGGGCUUGAGUUCGGUCGAGGCGGGCGGAAUGGAUAGUGUAGCGAUGAAAUGCAUAGAUACUAUCCAGAACUCCGAUUGCGUAGGCAGCUUACUAGGCUGUAACUGACGCUGAGGCACGAAAGCGUGGGGAGCGAACAGG